GACUAACGCUGGCGGCGUGCCUAACACAUGCAAGUCGAACGAGCAGCAAUGCUAGUGGCAGACGGGUGAGUAACGCGUAGAUAAUGUGCCCUCUCGCGGGGGAAUACCGUUCCGAAAGGAACGUUAAUACCGCAUAACACCACCAGGUGGCAUCACUUGGUGUUCAAACUUCCGGGGCGAGAGGAGCAGUCUGCGUUCUAUCAGGUAGUUGGUGAGGUAACGGCUCACCAAGCCUACGACGGAUAACUGGUCUGAGAGGAUGAUCAGUCACACUGGAACUGAGACACGGUCCAGACUCCUACGGGAGGCAGCAGUGAGGAAUAUUGCGCAAUGGGCGAAAGCCUGACGCAGCGACGCCGCGUGGAGGAUGACGGCCUUCGGGUUGUAAACUCCUGUCAGUGGGGAAGAGAUAGGACGGUACCACCUGAGGAAGCUUCGGCUAACUACGUGCCAGCAGCCGCGGUAAGGCGUACGUAGA
rnacentral:rRNA from 1 species